GUUGAUGAUGUGUGAGAGCGCUCCUUCACUGAGGUCUGAGUCGCUGGGGUCUUGUGUGACGGUGGUGAUGUGUGAGAGCGCUCCUUCACUGAGGUCUGAGUCGCUGGGGUCCUGUGUGACGGUGGUGAUGUGUGAGAGCGCUCCUUCACUGAGGUCUGAGUCGCUGGGGUCUUGUGUGACGGUGGUGAUGUGUGAGAGCGCUCCUUCACUGAGGUCUGAGUCGCUGGGGUCCUGUGUGACGGUGGUGAUGUGUGAG